AUAAGAUUAAGUUAAUAUGGACUGGAUGUUUUCAAAACAUUUAGAGGUUUUACCAUCUUAUG
rnacentral:tRNA from 1 species